GGAAGGAUCAUUAACAAGUCUGUGGGUGUAUGUGGAUGAUAUUCAUAGUAUAUGAAUAUGUGUACAUGUACACCACAACAUAUGCUCUCCAGCAGUUGUCUGGGUUGCACAAUGAUAAAAGCUUAUAUUGUACAGUAUAUUGUGUGGUUGUAUAUUAUAUUUUGUAUGUUUGUACAUCAAGUACACUUGUACUCAAUGUACCAUCAAUCACUGUCACAUGGAAAGAAAAAAAACACUUUUAACAACGGAUCUCUUGGCUCUCGCAACGAUGAAGAACGCAGUAAAGUGCGAAAAGUAAUGCGAAUUGCAUACUCUGUGAGUCAUCUAAUCUUUGAACGCAAAUGGCACUGCCACGUCAAGUGAUAGUAUGCCUGUUUGAGAACCACAUAAACGAUGACCAUCAGUUGAUGGUUGAUGUGCCCCGUGUGAUAUGAUUAUAGUUCACUCGGGCUAAAUAAAUGUACUCGAUGGGUGACUAACUAGUCCUCAUAACAAUGUGAUAAUCAUUCAUUGUUAUAGUCAUAUUUGGUCACCAAAACACUGAGUAAACGUAUACAUGAUAUAUCAUAUAUCAUCAUCACAAACACCAACGGUCUCAAAUCAGGCAAGGCUACCCGCUGAACUUAAGCAUAUCAGUAAGCGGAGGAAAAGAAACUAACAAGGAUUCCCGUAGUAACGGCGAGUGAAGUGGGAAUAGCUCAAAUUUAAAAUCUGACCCUCCAUGGGAGAGUCCGAAUUGUAGUCUAAAGAGGUGCUAUCGCGAGGGAGACCGGUGCACAAGUGUCCUGGAAUGGACCAUCACAGAGGGUGAGAAUCCCGUUUGGGCAUGGUCAACCGAGCAAUAAGAGACACACUCAAAGAGUCGAGUUGUUUGGGAAUGCAGCUCAAAAGGGGUGGUAAACUUCAUCCAAGGCUAAAUAUAGGCGAGAGACCGAUAGCGAACAAGUACCGUGAGGGAAAGAUGAAAAGCACCUUGAAAAGGGAGUUAAACAGCGCGUGAAAUUGUUAAAAGGGAAACGAUUGAAGGCAGCAUUGUACGUAUAUCCCGGGACAGGUGUGAGGAGUGUCGAGUGGAGCGCAAGCCCAGUCGGUGCGGGGAAGCCUGGAUUGGGGACGUGCGAGUCAGGACCGCUUCGGGUUGCCUUUGAAGACUUGGGGAAGGUACUCACCACCAGUAAUGGGGUGAACUUAUAGCCGCAAGGGAUGGGGUGAACUGGAGGUGGAAAGCCGGUGGGGAGAGUGUCGGACUGUAGGAGGGACAGAUCUCGGACUGCAUGCAGACUGUAGAUGCUGUUGGCCGACACGAGGACACAUCAGCCCACCGGGCAAAUCAUGACGAAAUGGCUUUAAACGACCCGUCUUGAAACACGGACCAAGGAGUCUAACAUGUAUGCGAGUGUUUGGGUGGAAAAGUCGAACGCGCAAUGAAAGUGUAAUGUGUGGGAACACAAAGGUGUGGGCACCAUGGACCGAUCCGGAUAACUAUUGAAGGAUUCGAGUCAGAGCAUAAAUGUUGGGACCCGAAAGAUGGUGAACUAUGCCUGGAUAGGAUGAAGCCAGAGGAAACUCUGGUGGAGGUCCGCAGCCGUUCUGACGUGCAAAUCGAUGGUCAAAUCUGGGCAUAGGGGCGAAAGACUAAUCGAACCAUCUAGUAGCUGGUUCCCUC
rnacentral:misc_RNA from 1 species